CCUACGGGAGGCAGCAGUGGGGAAUUUUCCGCAAUGGGCGAAAGCCUGACGGAGCAACGCCGCGUGAGGGAUGAAGGCCUCUGGGCUGUAAACCUCUUUUCUCAAGGAAGAAGACAUGACGGUACUUGAGGAAUAAGCCACGGCUAAUUCCGUGCCAGCAGCCGCGGUAAUACGGGAGUGGCAAGCGUUAUCCGGAAUUAUUGGGCGUAAAGCGUCCGCAGGCGGCCUUGUAAGUCUGUCGUUAAAGCGUGGAGCUUAACUCCAUUUCAGCGAUGGAAACUACAAGGCUUGAGUGUGGUAGGGGCAGAGGGAAUUCCCGGUGUAGCGGUGAAAUGCGUAGAUAUCGGGAAGAACACCAGUGGCGAAGGCGCUCUGCUGGGCCAUAACUGACGCUCAUGGACGAAAGCCAGGGGAGCGAAAGGGAUUAGAUACCCCUGUAGUCCUGGCCGUAAACGAUGAACACUAGGUGUCGGGGGAAUCGACCCCCUCGGUGUCGUAGCUAACGCGUUAAGUGUUCCGCCUGGGGAGUACGCACGCAAGUGUGAACUCAAAUGAAUUGACG
rnacentral:rRNA from 1 species